UACGUAGGGUGCGAGCGUUGUCCGGAAUUACUGGGCGUAAAGAGCUCGUAGGUGGUUUUUCGCGUUGUCCGUGAAAACUCACAACUCAAUUGUGGGCGUGCGGGCGAUACGGGCAGACUGGAGUACUGCAGGGGAGACUGGAAUUCCUGAUGUAGCGGUGGAAUGCGCAGAUAUCAGGAGGAACACCGGUGGCGAAGGCGGGUCUCUGGGCAGUAACUGACGCUGAGGAGCGAAAGCGUGGGGAGCGAACAGG
rnacentral:rRNA from 1 species